rnacentral:misc_RNA from 1 species
AAACCUCUCAGCAAUACUUUAUUGUUGGUUAUGGGCUAAAGAAGGGCUUCAAAACCCCAUCUUGCCUUAAUUUUGCUGCACGACCGCAAGCUAUUGCUAGGUUAUUGGAGUGGUGUUUACAUUAUAUUCCAGCAAUCCUCUCAUGGCUUUGGCGGCGUUAAACUUGAUAGUUGCCUCACCGCAACCGACG